rnacentral:tRNA from 1 species
AGUCGCGUGGUCUAGUUGGUUAAGACGCUCCGCUCACAGUGUUAUCCGGACAUCGGUUCCGGAGAGGUCCCCGGUUCGAACCCGGGCGCGACUA